AACGAACGCUGGCGGCAGGCCUAACACAUGCAAGUCGAGCGAGACCUUCGGGUCUAGCGGCGGACGGGUGAGUAACGCGUGGGAACGUGCCCUUUUCUACGGAAUAGCCUCGGGAAACUGAGCGUAAUACCGUAUACGCCCUUUGGGGGAAAGAUUUAUCGGAGAAGGAUCGGCCCGCGUUGGAUUAGGUAGUUGGUGGGGUAAUGGCCUACCAAGCCUACGAUCCAUAGCUGGUUUGAGAGGAUGAUCAGCCACACUGGGACUGAGACACGGCCCAGACUCCUACGGGAAGCAGCAGUGGGGAAUCUUAGACAAUGGGGGCAACCCUGAUCUAGCCAUGCCGCGUGAGUGAUGAAGGCCUUAGGGUUGUAAAGCUCUUUCAGCUGGGAAGAUAAUGACGGUACCAGCAGAAGAAGCCCCGGCUAACUCCGUG
rnacentral:rRNA from 1 species